rnacentral:lncRNA from 1 species
AAGUCUGAGACAUUUAUCUCUGUCUGUGUGAUGGGGGAGGAGACAGAAGAGAGAAUGUGAGAUGAAGAAAGAAAAUGAAAUAAAAGCAGCACCUUGCAUGUUUUAUACAAAAAGAAAGAAAGGAAGGAAGGAAGGAAGGAAGGAAGGAAGGAAGGAAGGAAGGAAGGAAGAAAGUAAGAAAGAAAGAAAGAAAGAAAGAGAAAGAGAGAAAGAAAGAGAGAAAGAGGGAGGGAGGGAGAGAAGGAAGGAAAGAAAGAAAGAGAGAAAAAAAAGAGCGAGAAAAAGAGAGAUAGAGAAAAAAAAAAGACUUGUUGAGGAGUUCCUCUUGUGGCUCAGCGGGUUAAGAACCAGACAUAGUAUCCAUGAGGAUGUAGGUUUGAUCCCUGGCCUCACCCAGUGGGUUAUGGAUCCGACAUUGCCAUGAGCUGCAGUGUAGUUUGCUGAUGUGGCUUGGAUCUGGUAUUGCUUGUGGCUGUGGCAUAAGCUGAUUGGACCCUUUGCCUAGGAACUUCGAUAUGCUGCAGGUGCAGUCAUGAAAAGGCAAAAAAGAAAAAAAGUUAUUGCAAUAAAAAGAAGUGAAGAAAAUGUAAACAUCCUUUCGGGAAACUUGGCAGGAAAAUCCAUGGUCCUCUGGGCAGUGAGUUUGGUUCUCUCAGUGGAUCUUGGAUUAACCUAGGAAUUUAAAAGCCUGUAGUCUAUUAACUUGGUAUUCAAGUCACCUCCCGCUGCCUCCUACUUUCAAGGUGACCUUGGACACGAUUCAGAGUUUUGGUUUUCUUCCCCAUAAUGGGGAAGAAUAAUAAUACCUACCUCUUAGGUUAUGGUAAGAAUUAAAUGAGAUAAUAUACAGAAAUCUUCUAACACCAGGCUUGACAAAUAAUCAGGUCUUUGUGAAUGCUGGAAAGUAUAAGUUGCACAACGCUUUGUGUUUAUUUGGCUUUUUAAUGGGAUUUCCAAAAUUCUGUCCUAUGAGGAAAACAGAUGUAUUUUAAUCUCCUUUCUUUCUCUCCCCACUCUGCAGCUCUCAACAAACACAUCUGCAUGUUUCAUUAUAAUCGAGUGAGAAGAACACGUUUGGGUGAGAAAUAUGAAGACAAUGGGAGAAAGAAAAGAGAAUUUCUGCGUCUCAGCUAUGACAUUGGUGCUGAGCCUGCAGACAAAAUACCUGGAUGAUGUGAGUAAUGCUCUUAGAUCAAUGUCUGGGAAAUAGGAGUUCCCACUGUGGCUCAGUGGUAAAGAACCCAGCUGGUAUCCCUGAGGGCUCAGGUUUGAUACCUGGCCUCAUUGGGUGGGUUAAGGAUCCAACAUUGCUGCAAGCCGUGGAAUAGUCACAAGUGCAGCUCAGAUCUGGUGUUGCUGUGGUUGUGGCAUAGGUCAGCAGCUGCAGCUCCAAUUUGGCUCCUGGCCUGGGAACUUCCAUAUGC